rnacentral:rRNA from 1 species
GUGGAUUAGAUACCCUGGUAGUCCACGCCCUAAACGAUGUCUACUAGUUGUUGGGAGAGUAAAAUCUUUUAGUAACGAAGCUAACGCGAGAAGUAGACCGCCUGGGGAGUACGGUCGCAAGAUUAAAACUCAAAGGAAUUGACGGGGGCCCGCACAAGCGGUGGAUUAUGUGGAUUAAUUCGAUGCAACGCGAAAAACCUUACCUAGCCUUGACAUGUAGCGAACUUAGCAGAGAUGCUUUGGUGCCCGAAAGGGAGCGUUAACACAGGUGCUGCACGGCCGUCGCCAACU